UACGUAGGGUCCGAGCGUUGUCCGGAAUUACUGGGCGUAAAGAGCUCGUAGGUGGUUUGUCGCGUUGUUCGUGAAAACUCACAGCUCAACUGUGGGCGUGCGGGCGAUACGGGCAGACUUGGGUACUGCAGGGGAGACUGGAAUUCCUGGUGUAGCGGUGGAAUGCGCAGAUAUCAGGAGGAACACCGGUGGCGAAGGCGGGUCUCUGGGCAGUAACUGACGCUGAAGUGCGAAAGCUAGGGGAGCGAACGGG
rnacentral:rRNA from 1 species